AUUGUUUCUGAGCUUUUUGGUUAAGAUCAAGUGUGGUAUCUAUUCUUAUCAAUUUAAUCUCUGAUGUAUUUGGGAAGCGAGGUUAUUAUAUUAAGCACUUUUUUUAAGAAUGGGAAGCAAGAAUAGGGGUUUGUUUUUUUGGUUCCACACAUCAACCUGAUAUUGUAGCAUCUUUAGGAAUAGUGCUUUUGUU